rnacentral:misc_RNA from 1 species
UCUCCGUAGGUGAACCUGCGGAGGGAUCAUUACCGAGUGGAGGGCGCCCGCGCCCGACCUCCCACCCUUGUUUGUUCAAACCCUGUUGCCUCGGGGGUGACCCGGCCACGCGCCGGGGCCCUCGGUGGACCAACCCAACUCUGCAUCUGUGCGUCGGAGUCAAAAGUUAAAUGAAAUUAAAACUUUCAACAACGGAUCUCUUGGUUCUGGCAUCGAUGAAGAACGCAGC